rnacentral:lncRNA from 1 species
UGCCACUGCCUGGAAAAUUCCUAAUUCCUACUCCCUGCAGGAGGAUGGGACAGGGGAUGACAAAACCCCAGCAAUAAAUCAGAUAUGUAAUUUGGCUGCUCACCAAGUGACUAAAGUUUUCUUGAAUUUAUUCACUUCUUUGAAUGUGGUGUUACUUAGGCAACCCCUGCUGGAUGACAACAGAGCCUCUAAGAUGAAGUUCUUGUCUAGUCCGGUUCCUGAUCAUCUGUCCAUACGGCUGCUCGGUGUUUUAGUACAAAUUAGUCUGCUGUGGCAGCAUACACACUUCAUUCCAACACUCAGGAUUGCCUCGUUUAUGGCCAUCUACCCCAAGACUUUACUUGAUCUAGUUCCUGUCAUUUUCUGUGUGCCCUGUACACCUACAGAGCCAGAGGACAUCCCCUUGUCCUGAUUUAUUAUGCUACCAUAUACUACUUUGAAACAGGAUUUCUCAAUAAACCUACAUCUCAGCUGAUAGCUAGCAAGCAACCGGGUCUCGUCCUCCACCUGACAGCUGGGGUCACAGGCGAGCACAAGGUAUUACCCAAGCCUUGUUCGGUGGGUGCUUUGAUAUGAAGUCGAGUCAAGAGAGCACACUGUAUGCUGAGCAAGCCUUCAGCCUGGACCACUCCCUCCCAUACCUGUGGCCUAUAAAGCUCUAUUUGAUCU